rnacentral:tRNA from 1 species
GGUGAUAUAGCUCAGUGGUAGUGUGCACGCUUAGCAUGCAUGAGGUCCUGGGUGCAAUCCCCAGCACCUCCA